ensembl:lncRNA
CCCCUCCUGGGAGCUGGUCCAGGGCUGGGGGCGGGGAGAGGGGAAGGAACUAUCUCGCAGUUUCCUCACACCCUUCCCCAGUAGUCUGCCCGGAGCGCCCGGGCCCUUUCCCAAGAAGUGCCUUAGGGACUCCCGUUGCAGAGGAAAAACCUUCCCGCCACUGCCCGGGCUUUUCACUUUCACUUCCGUGGCUUCAGAAUCUCCUCAGUGCAACCGAUAGGGGUCAGCCGGGGCUGAGGCUCAGAGAGGGCAGGUUGGGGCUUAAAGACACACAGCGAAAUAAUGGCGCCCAGCUGAGAUCCCAUCCAUCCCCACCCACAGUAAGCGUCUCCUGUCUGGCCUCUCGGGCCCGCAGCCCCCAGCCUCCCAAGCCACGGACGAGGACGAGAUGGCUCAGUCCAGACCCCCUCCCCCUGGGGUCAGAGCUGGACAGAGGGAGGAGGAACAGGCUCCAGAAGGAUGAGUUGGGGACAAGAUGGGCAGUGACCCCUGGUCUUGGCUGACCUGAAAGAGGCUGUCAGUGGUAUGUCACAGAUCACACCCUCGCCAUCCUGGUACAUAGUAGGACCUUAAUCGGUACAAAUGGAGUGAAUGAAUGAGCAGGUGUCCAGCUCUCACAGUGCCUAGCUGGCGCUGGAAGGCAAACCCCCUACUGUCAGUUCCCUUAUGCUACAGACAGGGAAACAACUCAGAGAGUGGGAGUCACCUAACCAGGGUCACACAGCAAGUAAGUGCCAGAGCCAGAACAGGACUCCAGGAAUGCUGAUGGCCUCCCCUUCAUAAGGCAGCCAAUAAGUAUAUAUUGAGCAUCUACUGUAUGCCAGGCAUUGAUCUAAGUGACAGAACAGAGCAGUGAGCCAAACAGACACAAAUCCCUGCCCUCUCAAGGAUUUGGGGCAACUAGAAGUCCACACGCUGCUGCUACGUGUAUAAGUUAGUACAACCACUUUGAAACAUUGUUUGGCAGGAUCUAGUAAGCUGAACAUAGAUAAACCCUGUUACCUCACAAAGAAUGUUCACAGCAGUUUUAUUCAUAAUAGUCUCAAACUGGAAACAACCCAAAUGGAUGAAUAGAUUAUGGUGUAGUUACGGCAAUAAAACAGAACCAACUGUAGCUACAUGCAACAGAAAAAUGGAGAAAGCUCACAGACAAAAUGUCGAGCAAAGAGAAAAAAAAAGAACCAGACACAAAAGGGUACGUAUUGAAUGAUUUCAUUUAUAUAAAGCUCAAGAACAGGCAAGCUCAUUUAUGGUGAUAGAAGUUGGAAUUGUUGCGGGGGGUGGCAGUUCCAAGAGUUUAGACACGUGUCAAAAUUUGAGCUGUACCCUUAAUAUCUGUGUACUUUACUGUUUACUUUUUGUCAAAAAAAAAAAAAAAAGUUCAAACAUCCCUUGCCCUCAUGGAACUCCCAUUCUAGUCAAGGAAGAUGGAUACUGAACAAAGUAGGUAAGUAUACAAUUUGUCCAUGUGAGAGUGCCAGGGCUUGCCCCCUUAGGCAAGAGGCGACAGCCUACAUGUUGCCUAAAAGAAGCCUAGAUUAAGCCCCUUUGUCUUCUCCCUUAGUGCCAUAGUCUCUUUCCUUAUAGUAACUUGGGUAACGUUUAACUACUCAGUUACUUGCGAGCUCCAUGACGACAGCCCUGUGACAGCUAGAGCUGGGUCUGGCAUAGAACAGGUGCUCCUAACAUUUGAACUAGAUUUAAGGAAAUAAUGAAUGAAUGAAUGAAUGAAUGAAUGAAUGAAUGAACGAACGAUGUAAGCAAACAGGACAACAUGGACCUGGAGGAGUCAAGUCUCAGGACACAAGUGAGGGAAACUAUCUGAAUGGGUUACAGCCUCAAGGGGUGGGAAAGAGAGUUUGGUAUCCAGCAAGGGAUUAAGCAGAGACCCAGAAGGCAGACUACGACAGUCUGAGUGGCUCAGAGACCACAUCCUGAAGCGCCUCUGGUGCCAAGGCCACGCAGGCCUGGAAAGGCAGAACGCAGGUGAGGAACACAGCCGGAUCUGCGUUUGAGUGAGAUCCCUGAAGCUGCUGCUAUACAGGGCGGUGGGCAAGGCUGAGGCUGAAAGUGGGGCAGCCAGGGAAGAAGUGUUUGCAGUUACUCCAGGAGGGAGACCUCCAGCCUGACCUGGGGCAGGGCCAUGGGGUUGAAGAGAGAACAGAGCUUUGGGGGAGGGAGAGUGGGUGCUCAGAUUCAUCUCCAUCUGCUCCCUUGUCACCCUAUACACAUAGAAGACCCCUGGACGCUUAGUCCAGCUUCUGCUUUUCUAAGGACCGGGGCCCCGCCCCCCCGGAUUCGGAGUCUGGGAUAAGUUUGGAAAGAGCAGCAGAUGGUCAGGGAGAGAGAAGAGGAUCCAGAGGGGAUGGAGGGUGGAGAGAGGGACAAGAGAAGACAGAGAAACUAGGAAUUAGGACNNNNNNNNNNGGCAGGAGUGCCCCUCUAUUAGUAGGUGCUCAGUAAAUCUGUGGGGA